GAAGAAUAGAGUUAAAAAAUAAUCAACAUAAAUUAUGAACAACCUUUAGAUUUAGACAUUGGGAAGUAUGAAAAUUAUACAUCACUUAUGGAAAUAUUGAAGAAAAGUCAGGAUAAUUUAACUAAAAUCAUUCACGAAGAAACCAAAGGGAUUUUACAAAUAGGAGAAGAAAUCUUAAAAAGCCUAGACUACAUGCCUUAUGCUGUUAUCUCACAUCUUGA